GAUGAACGCUGGCGGCGUGCCUAAUACAUGCAAGUCGAGCGAACAGACGAGGAGCUUGCUCCUCUGACGUUAGCGGCGGACGGGUGAGUAACACGCGGAUAACCUACCUAUAUGACUGGGAUAACUUCGGGAAACCGGAGCUAAUACCGGAUAAUAUAUUGAACCGCAUGGUUCAAUAGUGAAAGACGGUUUUGCUGUCACUUAUAGAUGGAUCCGCGCCGCAUUAGCUAGUUGGUAAGGUAACGGCUUACCAAGGCGACGAUGCGUAGCCGACCUGAGAGGGUGAUCGGCCACACUGGAACUGAGACACGGUCCAGACUCCUACGGGAGGCAGCAGUAGGGAAUCUUCCGCAAAGGGCGAAAGCCUGACGGAGCAACGCCGCGUGAGUGAUGAAGGUCUUCGGAUCGUAAAACUCUGUUAUUAGGGAAGAACAAAUGUGUAAGUAACUAUGCACGUCUUGACGGUACCUAAUCAGAAAGCCACGGCUAACUACGUG
rnacentral:rRNA from 1 species